UCCGUAGGUGAACCUGCGGAAGGAUCAUUACACUCAGUAGUUUACUACUGUAAAAGGGGCUGUUAGUCUGUAUAGCGCAAGCUGAUGAGCAGCUGGCCUCUUUUAUCCACCCUUGUCUUUUGCGUACCCACGUUUCCUCGGCAGGCUUGCCUGCCGGUUGGACAAAUUUAUAACCUUUUUAAUUUUCAAUCAGCGUCUGAAAAACUUAAUAAUUACAACUUUCAACAACGGAUCUCUUGGUUCUGGCAUCGAUGAAGAACGCAGCGAAAUGCGAUAAGUAGUGUGAAUUGCAGAAUUCAGUGAAUCAUCGAAUCUUUGAACGCACCUUGCGCCCUUUGGUAUUCCGAAGGGCAUGCCUGUUUGAGUGUCAUGAAACCUCACUCCACUUGGGUUUUUGCCUGAGUGGUAGUGUAUUGGGUGUUGCCUUGCCAAAGGCUCGCCUUAAAAGAAUAAGCACCUUGGAUGUAAUACGUUUCAUCCUUUCGGGUGGCUAAUAACCCCACAUAACUCAUGAUCUGGCCUCAAAUCAGGUAGGGCUACCCGCUGAACUUAA
rnacentral:rRNA from 1 species